rnacentral:lncRNA from 1 species
AAGAGAAGAGGUUGUAGGUAGUGGAUUUGGACCUGAGAAAGAGAAGGUUGUAGGUUGCUGAUUUGGACUGUAGAGAGAGGAAGGAGGUAGCUCAUGUAUACUGUAGAGAGAGGAAGUAGAAAGCUGAUUUGGACAGGCGGGAGAAGAUGAAGGUAGCUGAUUUGGACUGGAGAGAGAUGUAGGUAGCUGAUUUAGACUGGAGAAAGAGGUUAUAGGUAGCUGAUUUGUACCGGAGAGAGAAUAUGUAGGUAGCUUAUUUGAACUGGGAAGAAAGUUUGUAGGUAGCUGAUUUGGACUGGUGAGAGAGUUUAUAGGUAGCUGAUUUGGACUGGAGAGAGAAGAAGAUUUGGACUGGUGAUAGAGGAAAUAGGUAGCUGAUUAUGAAUGGAAAGACAAGAAGUAAGAAGCAGAUUUGAAAUGGAGAGAGAGGAUGUAUGUUGCUGAUUUGGACUGGAGGGAGUGGAUGAAGAUAGCUGAUUUUGACUGGAGAGAGAGGAAGUAGGUAGCUGAUUAGGACUGUAGAGAGAGGAAAUAGGUAGCUUAUUUGGACUGGAGAGAGAGAAAGUAUGUAGAUGAUUUGGACUGGAGAAAGAGGAAGUAGGUAAUUGAUUUGGAUUUGAGAAAGAGGAGAUUAUAGGUAGCUGAUUUGGACUAGAGAGAGAGAGCGAGAGAGGAGGUAGGUAGCUGAUUUGGACUGGAGAGAAAGGAGGUUGUAAGUAGCUGAUUUGAGACUUGAGAGAGAGGACGUAGGUAGCUUAUUUGGACUGGAGAGAGAGGAGGCUGUAAGCAGCUGAUUUGGACUGGAGAGAGAGGAAGUAAGUAGUUGAUAUGGAAUGGCAAGAGAGGAAGUAGGUAGCUGAUUUGGACUGGACAGAGAUGAGGUUGUAGGUAGCUGAUGUGGACUGAAGAGAAAAAUGCCGUAGGUAGCUGAUUUGGACUGGAGAGAGAGGUUGUAUGUAGCUGAUUUGGACUGGAGAGAGAAGAUGAUUUGGACUUGAGAAAGAGGAGGUUGUAGGUAGCUAAUUUGGACUGGAGAGAUAGGAAGUAAGUAGCUGAUAUGGAACGGAGAGAGUGGAAGUAGGUAGCUGAUUUGGAAUGGAGAGAGAGAAGGCUGUAAGUAGCUUUUUUGGACUGGAGAGAGGUUGUAGGUAGCUCAUAUGGAAUGGAGAGAGAGGAAUUAGGUAGCUGAUUUUGACUGGACAGAGAUACAGUUGUAAUUAGCUGACGUUGACCGGAGAGAGAGGUUGUUGGUAGUUGAUUUGGACUGGAGAGAGAAGAUGAUUUGGACUGGAAAGAGAGGAAAUAGGUAGAUGAUUUUGACUUGAGAGAGGAAGUAUGUAGCUUAAUUGGACUGGAGAAAGAGGAAGUAGGUAGUUGAUUUGGACUGGAGAAAGAGGAAGUUGUAGGUAGCUGAUUUGGACUGGAGAGAUAGGAAGUAAGUAGCUGAUAUGGAACGGAGAGAGUGGAAGUAGGUAGCUGAUUUGGACUGGAGAGAGAUGUUGUAUGUAAUCAAUUUUGACUGGAGAGAGAAGAUGAUUUGGACUGGAGAAAGAGGAAGUAGGGAGCUGAUUUGGAUUAGAGAGAUAGGAAGUAGGUAGCUGAUAUUGAAUGGAAAGAGAGGAAGUAGGUAGCUGAUUUGGACUGGAGAGAGAAGAUGAUUGGUACUGUGGAAAGUGGAAGUAUGAAGCUCAUGUGGACGGGAGCUAGAGGAAGUCGGUAGCUGAUUUGGAAUGGAGAGAGAGGAAGUAGGUUGCAUAUUUUAACUGGAGAGUGAAUAAGUAGGUAGUUGAUUUGGACUGGAGAAAGAGGAAUUAGGUAGCUGAUUUGGACGGGAGAGAGAGGAAAUAGGUAGCUGAUUUGGACAGGAGAGAGCGGAAGUAGGUAGUUGAUUUUGACUUGAGAGAGAGGAAUUAGGUAGCUUAUUUGAAAUGGAGAGAGUGGAAGUAGGUACCUUAUUUGGACUUGAGAGAGAGGAAGUAGGUUAUUGAUUUUGACUGGAGAAAGAAGAAGUAGAUCAUUGAUUUGGACUUAAUAAAUUGGAGGUUGUAGGUAGAUGAUUAGGACUGGAAAGAGAGUAGAUUGUAAGUAGCUGAUUUUGACUGGAGAGAGUACAAGAAGAAAGAUGAUUUGGACAGGAGAGAGGAAGUAGGUUUCUGAUUUGGACUGGAGAGAGAGGAAGUAGGUAGACGAUUUGGACUGGAGAAAGAGGAAGUAGGUAAUUGAUUUGGAUUUGAGAAAGAGGAGAUUAUAGGUAGUUGAUUUGGACUAGAGAGAGAGAGGAGGUAGGUAGCUGAUUUGGACUGUAAAGAAAGGAGGUUGUAAGUAGCUGAUUUGAGACUUGAGAGAGAGGACGUAGGUAGCUUAUUUGGACUGGAGAGAGAGGAGGAAGUAGGUAUCUGAUUUUUACUGGAGAGAGAGGAGGCUGUAAGCAGCUGAUUUGGACAGGAGAGAAAGGAAGUAAGUAGCUGAUAUGGAAUGGCAAGAGAGGAAGUAGGUAGCUGAUUCGGACUGGAAAGAGAUGAGGUUGUAGGAAGCUGAUGUGGACUGGAGAGAGAAAUGCCGUCAGUAGCUGAUUUGGACUGGAGAGAGAGGAAGUAGUUAUCUGAUUUUUACUGGAGAGAGAGGAGGCUGUAAGCAGCUGAUUUGGGCUGGAGAGAAAGGAAGUAAGUAGCUGAUAUGGAAUGGCAAGAGAGGAAUUAGGUAAUUGAUUUGGACUUAAGAUAUUGGAGGUUGUAGGUAGCUGAUUUAGGACUGGAGAGAGAGUAGAUUGUAAGUAGCUGAUUUUGAGUGGAGAGAGAGUCAGUAGGAAGAUGAUUUGGACUGGAGAGAGAGGAAGUAGGCAGCUGAUUUGGACUAGAGAAAAAGGAAGUAGGUAGCUGAUUUGGACUGUAAAGAAAAGAGGUUGUAAGUAGCUGAUUUGAGACUGGAUAGAGGGGAAGUAGGUAGUUGAUUUGGACUGGAGAAAGAGGAAGUAGGUAAUUGAUUUGGACUUAAGAAAUAUGAAGUUGUAGCCUGCUGAUAUUGGACUGGAGAGAGAGUAGAUUGUAAGUAGCUGAUUUUGUGUGGAGAGAGAGUAGGAAUUAGGAAGGUGAUUUGGACUGGAGAGAAAAUAAGUAGGUAGCGGAUUUGGACUGGAGAGAGUGGAAGUAGGUAGCUGAUUUCCACUGGAGAGAGAGGAAGUAGACUGCUGAUUUGGACUGGCGAAAGAGGAAGUAGGUAGCAGAUUUGGACUGUAGAGAAAAGAGGUUGUAAGUAGCUGAUUUGAGACUGGAUAGAGGGGAAGUAGGUAGUUGAUUUGGACUGGAGCGAGAGGAAGUUGUUACUUUAUUUGGACUUAUGAAUGAGGAG